rnacentral:tRNA from 1 species
UAAACAGAUGCUCGCUGGUUUGGGCGCUUAGCUGUUAACUAAGAGUUUACGGGAUCGAGGCCCGUCUGUUUAG